GCUCCCUGAUGUUAGCGGCGGACGGGUGAGUAACACGUGGGUAACCUGCCUGUAAGACUGGGAUAACUCCGGGAAACCGGGGCUAAUACCGGAUGGUUGUCUGAACCGCAUGGUUCAGACAUAAAAGGUGGCUUCGGCUACCACUUACAGAUGGACCCGCGGCGCAUUAGCUAGUUGGUGAGGUAACGGCUCACCAAGGCGACGAUGCGUAGCCGACCUGAGAGGGUGAUCGGCCACACUGGGACUGAGACACGGCCCAGACUCCUACGGGAGGCAGCAGUAGGGAAUCUUCCGCAAUGGACGAAAGUCUGACGGAGCAACGCCGCGUGAGUGAUGAAGGUUUUCGGAUCGUAAAGCUCUGUUGUUAGGGAAGAACAAGUGCCGUUCAAAUAGGGCGGCACCUUGACGGUACCUAACCAGAAAGCCACGGCUAACUACGUGCCAGCAGCCGCGGUAAUACGUAGGUGGCAAGCGUUGUCCGGAAUUAUUGGGCGUAAAGGGCUCGCAGGCGGUUUCUUAAGUCUGAUGUGAAAGCCCCCGGCUCAACCGGGGAGGGUCAUUGGAAACUGGGGAACUUGAGUGCAGAAGAGGAGAGUGGAAUUCCACGUGUAGCGGUGAAAUGCGUAGAGAUGUGGAGGAACACCAGUGGCGAAGGCGACUCUCUGGUCUGUAACUGACGCUGAGGAGCGAAAGCGUGGGGAGCGAACAGGAUUAGAUACCCUGGUAGUCCACGCCGUAAACGAUGAGUGCUAAGUGUUAGGGGGUUUCCGCCCCUUAGUGCUGCAGCUAACGCAUUAAGCACUCCGCCUGGGGAGUACGGUCGCAAGACUGAAACUCAAAGGAAUUGACGGGGGCCCGCACAAGCGGUGGAGCAUGUGGUUUAAUUCGAAGCAACGCGAAGAACCUUACCAGGUCUUGACAUCCUCUGACAAUCCUAGAGAUAGGACGUCCCCUUCGGGGGCAGAAUGACAGGUGGUGCAUGGUUGUCGUCAGCUCAUGUCCUGAAAUGUUGGGUUAAGUCCCGCAACGAGCCCAACCCUGGAUCUUAGUUGCCAGCAUUCAAUUGGGCACUCUAAGGUGACUGCCGGUGACAAACCGGAAGAAGGUGGGGAUGACUUCAAAUCUUCAUGCCCCUUAAGAACUGGGGCUACCCACUUGCUACAAUGG
rnacentral:rRNA from 1 species